rnacentral:pre_miRNA from 1 species
UUUAUAUGACACCGUUGACUUUUAGGUUCACGUUUGACCCUUCGUCUUAUUAAAAAAAUUAUAUAAUUAUUAAUUAUUUUGUUAUAAUAUGAUUUGUUAUUAUAGAAACUUUAAGUGUGCCUUAUAAUUUUGCAUAUUUGAAUAUAUAUUUUGAAUAAGACGAAUGGUCAAACGUGAAUCUAAAAGUCAACGACGUCAUACAUA